rnacentral:lncRNA from 1 species
UAUACUCUUUUUUUACCUGCUAUAAUUACUCAAAAGAAGCAAACAUGUCUUCAAUUUUUCUUUUUUUUUUCUUCUUUUCUCUUUAGCUAGUUGAUUGAAAUGUAAAUUGGACUCAAUGGAUCUCAAAGAUUUAUCAUCAAUUUUCCUUUUUUUUUUUUGGAAGAAAAGAAAGAUACUGAAAUUGACAUAUAAAAUUGAGUCUUCUAAAUCC